CCACGCCCCGCGAGGACGCUCGGGCGGCGCGGGAGGAUCGAGGCCCGCCCGCCGGGGUGGUGGAUGGUGGCGGAGGGUUCCGCGACGCUCAGGUGCGUGUCAUCCUUCCGGAAGGCAGGGGCUUCAACUCCGGGAUGUCGGGCGCCUGCUGUGAGGGAUGGAAUCGCCAUCAGAAUUUUGCCCACAGUGAAUGCCAGCAAACGAUGAUGGAAGGUUAUGGAGCCUGUCUACUGCUACAUAAAAUCGGGAGGAAAUGUCAUCUGGGUGGAAUGGUUUGCGUGUGGUUCUGCCAGAAGAGAGGAAAGGAUCUAACUGGGGUUUCAAGGUUCCCUGUUGAUUCAUGGGCGUAUUUUAACACCCUGGUCAGGAUCCAUCACUGUCUCAACAGGCAAGCGAGGCUUUCAUCAGCAGCUGGGAAAACGGGAAACCUGCUGUGGUGACAUAUGCGAACCAUGUGGAGCAUUCUUGAAUAGAGUGUAAAGACUUGCCGAGGCCCCUUUAACUAUGUGAGGUGCAGGUCCCUCUAUAAGAGGAACUGAAUCGUUUCUAGAUUCUAGAAUGGUUUGUGCAUCAGAAUGCCCGGGGGUUGUAAUAGACUUGGGCCGCAUGCAUGCUUACUCGUCAUCGCCACUGAGGACCAGCCUCCCACAGCAUUAUCAGUGGGUACCCAUUUACUUUACAUAAGCGGUGGUCGUCUUCUCUACUCAACAAAUCCACAAGGAAGUUUUCAAAGAAUCUGAACAAAACUUAUGUGCAGCUAUUAACCCACAGGCUAAUAGACUCGACGGAGGUGCCAAUAUGAAAUUUGUACAAUUGAGUGUAUUCGCUAUUAGCUUGGUAUUUUUGCUAAAUCAAACUACAUUUUAAAAUAGAAUAAUUGAAAUCUUGACACUAUCUCAGGAACAGCAGAGGUCCCUAGAAUAAUUUGAGAAGACUUACUAGUAAAGACUCAAAAGAUACAGGAAAGAUGGCAAAAGGAGGAUUCAUCUUAAUAUAAUGACCUUUGUGAUUACAUUGGCCCACGCAGAUAAUCCAGGAUAACCUCUCCAUCUCAAGAUCCUUAAUUUAUUAACAUCUACAAAAUCCUUUUUGCCAGAUAAAGUGACAACAUAGUGUCAAAGAAAAACCAGAGCUGUGUUUAAGAGCAUUUUUCUGAUGGAUUGUGUUUUCCUUUUAUAAUAUGAAAAGAAGAAAAAUAUAUCAAGAAGUGUCUGUUCAGGAAACAGUGUAAAGUUCUGUGCAGCUGGAACAUAAGAAGAGAUCAGUAGGGACGGAAGCUAUUCAGAUCUGUUUAGAACCAAACCAAGAUCAAUUUUGUAGCCUGGGCAAUCUGAACUUCAUCUGAUCAGCAGUGGGGAAACAUGGGGGAUUUUUAAACAGAUGAUCACCAAGAAGAUGAUUUAUAAUUUAAAAAACUGUAAUGAUGAAUUUUAUUAAAAUAAGAUAGACUUUACUACUAUUUUAUACUCCUUCCACUUACAUUUGCAUAUUUAAUUUAGUUAUCUCUAUUAUUAACUUAACCCAUUUCUUUAUACCAUCAGGGCUGAUAUUCAAUUUUAAAUUCACUUUUCUAUGCUAUGAAAUAAAGCAUUUACUUUAUCCUUUUAGUGAUAAAUGGCUGGAUUGUUGAUUUUUUUUGCCUAAAACAUAAGCACAGAUAACAAAGUAUGUCUGGUUGAUGUUCAAACACUAUUUCAAGUGAACUAAAAUUUCUCAGCAGAUGAUGGAAGUGGAUUGGGGAA